CUUACCCAUGCAGGUCGAGCGGAUGAGUGGAGCUUGCUCCAUGAUUCAGCGGCGGACGGGUGAGUAAUGCCUAGGAAUCUGCCUGGUAGUGGGGGACAACGUUUCGAAAGGAACGCUAAUACCGCAUACGUCCUACGGGAGAAAGUGGGGGAUCUUCGGACCUCACGCUAUCAGAUGAGCCUAGGUCGGAUUAGCUAGUUGGUGAGGUAAAGGCUCACCAAGGCGACGAUCCGUAACUGGUCUGAGAGGAUGAUCAGUCACACUGGAACUGAGACACGGUCCAGACUCCUACGGGAGGCAGCAGUGGGGAAUAUUGGACAAUGGGCGAAAGCCUGAUCCAGCCAUGCCGCGUGUGUGAAGAAGGUCUUCGGAUUGUAAAGCACUUUAAGUUGGGAGGAAGGGCAGUAAGUUAAUACCUUGCUGUUUUGACGUUACCAACAGAAUAAGCACCGGCUAACUUCGUGCCAGCAGCCGCGGUAAUACGAAGGGUGCAAGCGUUAAUCGGAAUUACUGGGCGUAAAGCGCGCGUAGGUGGUUCGUUAAGUUGGAUGUGAAAGCCCCGGGCUCAACCUGGGAACUGCAUCCAAAACUGGCGAGCUAGAGUAUGGCAGAGGGUGGUGGAAUUUCCUGUGUAGCGGUGAAAUGCGUAGAUAUAGGAAGGAACACCAGUGGCGAAGGCGACCACCUGGGCUAAUACUGACACUGAGGUGCGAAAGCGUGGGGGAGCAAACGGGAUUAGAUGCCCUGGUACUCCACGCCGUUAAACAAUGUCGACUACCCGUUGGGAUCCUUGAAAUCUUAUGGGGGCAGCUAACGCAUUAAAGUCGACCCCCCUGGGGGAGUACGGGCCCCAAGGGUUUAAAACUUCAAAUGAAUUUGACCGGGGGGGCCCCGCACCAAGCGGGUGGAAGCCAUGUUGGUU
rnacentral:rRNA from 1 species